CCCUUAGAUGUUCUGGGCCGCACGCGCGCUACACUGAUGCAUUCAACGAGCCUAUCCUUGACCGACAGGUCCGGGUAAUCUUUGAAUCUGCAUCGUGACGGGGAUAGAUUAUUGCAAUUAUUAAUCUUCAACGAGGAAUGCCUAGUAGGCGCAAGUCAUCAGCUUGCGUCGAUUACGUCCCUGCCCUUUGUACACACCGCCCGUCGCUCCUACCGAUUGGGUGUGCUGGUGAAAUGUUCGGAUCGGCCGUUUGUCGCGGUUUCCGCGUCAUGUGGCUGAGAAGUUCAUUAAACCCUCCCACCUAAAGGAAGGAGAAGUCGUAACA
rnacentral:rRNA from 1 species